rnacentral:tRNA from 1 species
GCCGCCAUCGUCUAGUGGUCGAGGACACCAGCUUCUCAAGCUGGGAACACCGGUUCAACUCCGGUUGGCGGCA